AUUGAACGCUGGCGGCGUGCCUAACACAUGCAAGUCGAGCGGUAACAGGUGUAGCAAUACAUGCUGACGAGCGGCGGACGGGUGAGUAACGCUUGGGAAUCUGCCUAUUAGUGGGGGACAACCCGGGGAAACUCGGGCUAAUACCGCAUACGCACUACGGUGGAAAGCCGGGGACCGCAAGGCCUGGCGCUAACAGAUGAGCCCAAGUCGGAUUAGCUAGUUGGUAGGGUAACGGCCACCAAGGCGACGAUCCGUAACUGGUCUGAGAGGACGACCAGUCACACCGGAACUGAGACACGGUCCGGACUCCUACGGGAGGCAGCAGGUGGGGAAUAUUGGACAAUGGGCGAAAGCCUGAUCCAGCGACGCCGCGU
rnacentral:rRNA from 1 species